AGUGAACGCUGGCGGCGUGCUUAACACAUGCAAGUCGAACGGAUCAAAGUAGCUUGCUAUUUUGGUUAGUGGCGCACGGGUGAGUAAUGUAUAGCUAACCUGCCCUUUAGUGGGGGACAACAGUUGGAAACGACUGCUAAUACCCCAUACUCCUUCUUGCCAUAAGGUGAGUCGGGAAAGAUUUAUUGCUAAAGGAUGGGGCUUUAUUGUAUCAGCUAGUUGGUGAGGUAAUGGCUCACCAAGGCUAUGACGCAUACCUGGUCUGAGAGGAUGAUCAGGCACACUGGAACUGAGACACGGUCCAGACUCCUACGGGAGGCAGCAGUGGGGAAUAUUGCACAAUGGAGGAAACUCUGAUGCAGCAACGCCGCGUGGAGGAUGACGCAUUUCGGUGUGUAAACUCCUUUUAUAAGGGAAGAUAAUGACGGUACCUUAUGAAUAAGCACCGGCUAACUCCGUGCCAGCCGCCGCGGUAA
rnacentral:rRNA from 1 species